rnacentral:rRNA from 1 species
ACGGGUGCGUAACGCGUAUACAAUCUACCUUUUGCUGAGGGAUAGCCCAGAGAAAUUUGGAUUAAUACCUCAUGGUAUGUAGUAAUGGCAUCAUUACUAUAUUAAAGGUUACGGCAAAGGAUGAGUAUGCGUUCUAUUAGCUAGAUGGUAAGGUAACGGCUUACCAUGGCGACGAUAGAUAGGGGCCCUGAGAGGGGGAUCCCCCACACUGGUACUGAGACACGGACCAGACUCCUACGGGAGGCAGCAGUGAGGAAUAUUGGACAAUGGGCGCAAGCCUGAUCCAGCCAUGCCGCGUGCAGGAAGACUGCCCUAUGGGUUGUAAACUGCUUUUAUACAGGAAGAAACACUCCCUCGUGAGGGAGCUUGACGGUACUGUAAGAAUAAGGAUCGGCUAACUCCGUG